rnacentral:rRNA from 1 species
CUUAGCAGAGAUGCUUUGGUGCCUUCGGGAACUCUGAGACAGGUGCUGCAUGGCUGUCGUCAGCUCGUGUUGUGAAAUGUUGGGUUAAGUCCCGNAACGAGCGCAACCCUUAUCCUUUGUUGCAGCGGUUCGGCCGGGAACUCAAAGGAGACUGCCGGUGAUAAACCGGAGGAAGGUGGGGAUGACGUCAAGUCAUCAUGGCCCUUACGGCCAGGGCUACACACGUGCUACAAUGGCGCAUACAAAGAGAAGCGACCUCGCGAGAGCAAGCGGACCUCAUAAAGUGCGUCGUAGUCCGGAUUGGAGUCUGCAACUCGACUCCAUGAAGUCGGAAUCGCUAGUAAUCGUAGAUCAGAAUGCUACGGUGAAUACGUUCCCGGGCCUUGUACACACCGCCCGUCACACCAUGGGAGUGGGUUGCAAAAGAAGUAGGUAGCUUAACCUUCGGGAGGGCGCUUACCACUUUGUGAUUCAUGACUGGGGUGAAGUCGUAACAAGGUAAGCGUAGCGAG